GCUGCGCAGAUAAGUAAUGACGCCGACGAACACUCUGGACCACCAACGGAUAACAAUGAGAGUGUUGAUAUGGAUCUCUCCGACGAGGAAUACGUCCCGGAGCAUCCCACGGAAGCGUCGACAGCGUUACACGACGAACCGAUAGAGGACUCAACGGAACCGUACGAGCCCUUCGAAGGAGAAGACAUCGACGAUGCGUUUAUGCCUUUGAUGAAUCCC